UUCCUCUUUCUUCUUCCUCCCUCCCUCUUUCUUAAUUCCUUCCCCUUUUAUUUUCUUCCUUACUUCCUCUUUCUCUCGUUUCUUAUUUCCUUUUUUCCUUCCUUUCUAUCUUCCAGAUUGCGAAAGUACCGACUACACGUUAACGCCGUAUUUACUUUUUCCAUAAAAAAAGUGUGUUGAGUGAAAGUCGUCACGUCCACGAAGAACACGAGUAGUUUCACACCCAUAAAAAAAAAAAGAGGAUUAUUAGACGAUUACUAAAAAAGAUUACUAUAUCUAAAUUUUAUAUAUUGUGACCAGGACACUCACAAGUUCACCUAAUUAAGUAAGUAAAUAAAACGAGUCGUCUUUCACGUCCCACAUCCUUUCCCCUGAAGUUAAUUCUUUUUUUUUUCUUAUUUACUCGACUGCACCGAGUCAUUUUCAGGUAUCGUCUUACAGCAGCAACGAGUCAGAAACACGUAACAUGAAGUCGGUACUCCAGAAGUCUCAGGAGGGGAAAAAAGAGACACGAGUCUCUUGUAACGAGAGACAGACAGAGAGGCGAGAACAGAAAAAUACAACAAGAGUUCAUCAGUCUGUUGGAUCAUGUAGAGGACAGACGGCGGCAAACAGAUCACACGACUACAAUACUGCCACGGGCUCGUCGGCACCGAGACCGGCCUUCUUUGUUCUUAGUGUGUGUGUUUGUGUGUGUGAGAAAUGUAUUGCGUACGUUAAAUGUAUUGUAGAGGUUUUGGAGAAUGAAUGGCUGAAUGGAACCAUGUGGUUUGAGUACAGUAUUGAGGAGAAUUUAUUGAGAAAAAGGACAAAAAAAAUUCUUUAAACAGAAUUAAAACAACCUAAACAACUUGGCAAUUUCACUGAAGAUUAAAAAAACAA